UGUAGGUUGAAUGUGUGGAUAAACUGCUGUAGACUGAAUGUGUGGAUAAACUGCUGUAGGCUGAAUGUGUGGGAUAAACUGCUGUAGACUGAAUGUGUGGAUAAACUGCUGUAGACUGAAUGUGUGGAUAAACUGCUGUAGGCUGAAUGUGUGGAUAAACUGCUGUAGACUGAAUGUGUGGAUAAACUGCUGUAGGCUGAAUGUGUGGAUAAACUGCUGUAGACUGAAUGUGUGGAUAAACUGCUGUAGGCUGAAUGUGUGGAUAAACUGCUGUAGACUGAAUGUGUGGAUAAACUGCUGUAGACUGAAUGUGUGGAUAAACUGCUGUAGGUUGAAUGUGUG